rnacentral:rRNA from 1 species
UGGGGAAUAUUGCACAAUGGGCGAAAGCCUGAUGCAGCAACGCCGCGUGCGGGAUGACGGCCUUCGGGUUGUAAACCGCUUUCAGCUCCGACGAAGCGCAAGUGACGGUAGGAGCAGAAGAAGGACCGGCCAACUACGUGCCAGCAGCCGCGGUGAUACGUAGGGUCCGGGCGUUGUCCGGAAUUAUUGGGCGUAAAGGGCUUGUAGGCGGUUGGUCACGUCGGAAGUGAAAACUCAGGGCUUAACCCUGAGCCUGCUUCCGAUACGGGCAAACUAGAGGAAUGCAGGGGAGAAUGGAAUUCCUGGUGGAGCGGUGGAAUGCGCAGAUAUCAGGAGGAACACCAGUGGCGAAGGCGGUUCUCUGGGCAUUUCCUGACGCUGAGAAGCGAAAGCGUGGGGAGCAAACA